CUAUUGAACUCUGUCUGAAGAUUGCAGUCUGAGCAUAAACUAAAUAAGUUAAAACUUUCAACAACGGAUCUCUUGGUUCCGGCAUCGAUGAAGAACGCAGCGAAAUGCGAUAACUAAUGUGAAUUGCAGAAUUCAGUGAAUCAUCGAGUCUUUGAACGCACAUUGCGCCCCCUGGUAUUCCGGGGGGCAUGCCUGUCCGAGCGUCAUUGCUGCCCUCAAGCACGGCUUGUGUGUUGGGCUCCGUCCCCCCGGGGACGGGUCCGAAAGGCAGCGGCGGCACCGAGUCCGGUCCUCGAGCGUAUGGGGCUUUGUCACCCGCUCUGUAGGCCCGGCCGGCGCCAGCCGACAACCAAUCAUCCUUUUUUCAGGUUGACCUCGGAUCAGGUAGGGAUACCCGCUGAACUUAAGCAUAUCAAUA
rnacentral:rRNA from 1 species